ACUCCACCGCACCACGCCUCUCUCCUCGAUCACGAUCGGGGAAGCGUCCAUGGCGCCCAAGCCGGAGAAGAAGCAUCCCGCGGCGGAGGAAGCAGUGGCGAAGGAUCCCGCGGGGGAGAAGGCCCCGGCUGGGGAAACGUCCAAGUCCAACACCGCGACCACGUCGGCGCCGCCGGCGGAGAAGCCGCGGCCGGCGCUGAGGAACUCCUUCGUCAACGACGUGUUCGAGAGGAUCGAGGGCUAGGCGUAGCUUCGAUCCAGCGCUACGUUACGACAAUAAAGCCCAGUGGCCACUGGCCUGUAGCCCUGUACCAUCUCGCCUACCGUGAGAUAGGUCUGUUGAUUUGGCGCGUGUAUCGAGUAAUGGCAUUUGUUGAUGAAAAAUGAUCCUAUUCCCCGGGGGCUGCGAGUUU